AUACGGAGGAUCCGAGCGUUAUCCGGAUUUAUUGGGUUUAAAGGGUGCGCAGGCGGGAGAUUAAGUCGGCGGUGAAAUUUUGCAGCUCAACUGUAAAAGUGCCUUCGAAACUGGUUUCCUUGAGUGUAGAUGAAGUAAGCGGAAUUUGUGGUGUAGCGGUGAAAUGCAUAGAUAUCACGAGGAACUCCGAUUGCGCAGGCAGCUUACUAAACUACUACUGGCGCUCAGGCACGAAUGCGUGGGGAUCAAACAGGAUUAGAUGCCGUGGUAGUCCACGCAGUAAACGAUGAUUACUGGCUGUUUGCGAUACAAUGUAAGCGGCUGAGCGAAAGCGUUAAGUAAUCCACCUGGGGAGUACGUUCGCAAGAAUGAAACUCAAAUGAAUUGACGGGG
rnacentral:rRNA from 1 species